rnacentral:tRNA from 1 species
GACCCUGUCGUCCAGCCUGGCUCAGGACACGGCCCUUUCACGGCCGUGACACGGGUUCGAAUCCCGUCGGGGUCGCCA